UUUUAUAUGCACUUCAAAAGAAUGUACAUUCUGCUGCUUUGGAGUGAAAUACUCUGACAAUAUCAAUUAAAUAUAUCUGGUGUAGUCAUUAAAUGUCUAUG